rnacentral:rRNA from 1 species
AUGGAGGCGGCGCGUCACGCAGGGAAGAAGCGGGGUCCGGACGACGAGGCGGAGGCGGAGGUGCACCACACGUUCCGGGGCGCCGCCAACGCGCUCUCGCAGCUCUACGCGCAGGCCGUCGCCAACCAGAAGGCCUCCUUCAUCGCCGGCGAGCGCCACGCCAUGGAGCGUGCCCAUCGGUGGAUAUCCAGUCAGCAUGAAGAAGCAUCGGGAGUGUCUGUUGCUGAUGUACUUGCUUACUUGCAGAAUGAGAUUGAGAGCAGAGGCGGCAUGGCAGGGUCUUCCCAACAUCCAACUCCACAGCCAGCAUAUGGUCUUCCUUCUGCAAAUGUCCAAAUCAACUCCUUCUCAUUUGGAAAUGUGGCGGCUGCACUUGACUCUCAGCUGUACCAAACCGACCAAACAAGAACUGCGGGCAUCUCAAAUGCUUUCAGCAGUCCUUCACAGCAAAAUUCCCGUUCAAACCAUCUGGUUCAGUGUUCAGGAAAUGGCCCUGUAAACUCCCCGCCAAUUGGAAGCAGAGCUCGGGAUGACCAUUCUCCCCAGAACCAGGACUCUGUGCAUCCCAAUUCGUACGAGCCCUCCAUGGAUAUGAAUCAUGAUGCUCCUUGA